GAUGAACGCUGGCGGCGUGCUUAACACAUGCCAGUCGAACGGUGAACCCGGAGCUUGCUCUGUGGGAUCAGUGGCGAACGGGUGAGUAACACGUGAGCAACCUGCCCCUGACUCUGGGAUAAGCGCUGGAAACGGCGUCUAAUACUGGAUAUGUGACGUGACCGCAUGGUCUGCGUUUGGAAAGAUUUUUCGGUUGGGGAUGGGCUCGCGGCCUAUCAGCUUGUUGGUGAGGUAAUGGCUCACCAAGGCGUCGACGGGUAGCCGGCCUGAGAGGGUGACCGGCCACACUGGGACUGAGACACGGCCCAGACUCCUACGGGAGGCAGCAGUGGGGAAUAUUGCACAAUGGGCGCAAGCCUGAUGCAGCAACGCCGCGUGAGGGAUGACGGCCUUCGGGUUGUAAACCUCUUUUAGCAGGGAAGAAGCGAAAGUGACGGUACCUGCAGAAAAAGCGCCGGCUAACUACGUG
rnacentral:rRNA from 1 species